GGGGGCUAGGGGCCCCAAAGGAAACCCUCAAGGGGCCCCUCAAGCACCCAGGAAAGAAAACAACAUAUUAAUGAAGAGAACACAGACUCUUUGGUUUACUCCCCCAACUCUUAAUGAAGUGUGGAGGUCAGGAGGGCCUGUAUGUACACACGCAACUUUGUGUGUUUGGGUGUUGGUGUGUGAGUGAGGCUCUUUGUCUGACUGCUCCAGCAGAAAUGGGUCUGUGUGACCGUUGGACCCUAACCUUUUGACCCCAGACUGGGCAGAACAAAGGGAAAAGCUGUUAAACAGUGGGAGAGGGAGGCCAUGUGACUCAGUGAGCAUUCUAUAGAGGGGAAUCCUUUUUUCCCAUUGGGUGUUCAAAGCAGGGUGCUUCUGUCAACACACACAUACUCUCUACAACUUAAUCAGUGGGGAUUUUGGUCACAAGGAAACUUGGGUAGAAAUACCGGAAGUGACAAACAUAAUAUGGACAUUCUCGUGCAUCCAAGUGCACACACAUCCAAGCGCACACACAUCCAAGCGCACACGUGCACAUGCGCAAUACACACACGCGUACACAAACACAGGGCCGUGCAAAGACCUUUCAGGAGGUAGGUGCUCAAAAUAACAAACAGAAACAUGGUAGCUAAAGGCAGGUUGGAGAUAGAGGGCAGUUGGACAUUGGGAAAUGACGUUGUUGCAGAUCAGCAUGUGGCGCACAAUUGACCCAGCUUCGAUGAGGGAGGGUUUGGCCGGCAGGGAUGUCCUUAUCCCAUCGCGAACUAGUGACUCCUGUGGUGGGCCAGGUGCAGUGCAUGCUGACAUGGUCACGAGGUGUACAGUGUUUCCCCUGACACAUUGGUGUUUCUGGGUUAAGUGGGCAUUGUGUCAAGAAGCAGUGCGGCUUGGUUGGGUUGUGUUUCAGAAGACGCACUGCUCUCGAGCUUUGCUUCUCCCGAGUCCGCACGGGAGUUGCAGCGAUGAGACAACACUGCAACUACCAAUUGGAUACCACGAAAAAGGGUUAAAAAAAAUGUUAAGCAAUUUUUAUAUUUAAACUAGGUAACUAACUAGCUACACACACUCAUCUCUCAAACCAUGCAUGUCUGGAUAUCGGGAGCCCACGAUCUCUGUACAGGGCAGACUGGGAAACAGGCACAACCGGGAGCGGGAGAUCCAUACAUGGAAGAUCAACAGGUGAACUUGAGGACAUCACAACAACUCACUGGCAGUGGGUUCUGAACAUCAAUGGUAAAACCGGGAAGUUAUACCACCACCCAAAAGGGCACUUUGGAGACUGGAAGGGCAAAAGGGCAUGUGGUCUGCACACAACUCACACUCACACUACACACACACACAGACCCUCAGACAUUCUGGAAGGUCAACACAAUAAAGUGAUUCUUGUUAACAUGAGUAGAUCUGCACACUCACAGAUCUACCACUUUGAUUCAUAAAACUUUCCUUACACCAAACAUUGCCUAAAUAAUCUACAAGAUCAGAGAAUUUUUAAAUGUACCAAUUGGUGCUGAAACGGAGACGAAGAUGCAGUAGACGGCAUUACUAUUUUCUGAAUUUGUUUGCUCAAUGUAUUCUAGUCUGUUGGGCUCCUGAGUGGCGCAGCGGUCUAAUGUACUGCAUUUCGGUGCAAGAGGUGUCACUACAUUCCCUGGUUUGAAACUAGGCUGUAUCACAUCCGGCCGUGAUUGGGAGUCCCAUAGGGCAGCGCACAACUGGUCCAGCAUCAUCUGGGUUUGGCCGGGGGAUGGCUUAAGAUAAAUGUACUGAAAACCCUAUUGAAUGAAAACUCCAAGAGGGAACCACACCUGCAAAGCCCAUUACGCAGCUGUAUACGAAUUACACACCUCCAAUGGAGUCAGCAGGAGCAGGGACCCCGGUUAGAGGAGUCAAGGAGCGCGUCCAGGAACAUUCGGCCAUGCUACAUCAUCUAGGUGCCAUGAUGGAUCGAGCUGUUCAGACCACGGACCGCUGGGAGAGACAGGAAGUCUCUCCAGUGCCUCGACCAGCACAACUAGGGAUGUCUCCACCCGUUCCACCCGUGCCGUGUUGGUACCUCUGGGAGUCGAGGCAACAGGCAGGGCACUCUGGCGUCACCCCAGGCCGGUGGUGGCUGGUCCGCUCCAGGAGGGGUACGGACCGGAGGAGAGGUGCUGGGUUCCGGUUGCAGAUGUUUUGGAUCUUGAACUGCUGCGGGACUUUCACCAUCGCCGGCUGGAUCGCCCUGCGCCUCGUCCUCCGGGUCGUCCUCGAGGCCGGUGUCGGCGCCGCUGGAGCCACGCGUCAAGGGGGGUGUACUGUCACGACUUCCGCUGAAGUCGGCUCCUCUCCUUGUUCGGGCGGCGUUCGGCGAUCGACGUCACCGGCUUUCUCGCCAUCGCCGCUCCAUUUUUCAUAUAUCCAUUUGUCUUGUCUUGUUUCCAUAAACACCCGGUUUUCAUUUCCCCAAUCAAUCUACUUGUAUUUAACCCUCUCUUUCCCAUCAUGUUUUGUGUGUAAUUGUUUCUUGUUAUGUGGUGUUAGUUUACGCACUUUACAUUUAUGUUCUGUUUUUUGAGCGCGUUUGAUUUAUGUAGUGCUCUCAUUUUUGGAACUUUAAUAAAAGUAUGUCUGUUCAUUAUA